rnacentral:lncRNA from 1 species
UGAGUGUGUGAUCUGUUGAGUGUGUGUUCUGUUGAGUGUGUGUUUGGUGGUGUGUUCUGUUGGAGUGUGUGUGUUCUGGUGUUGUGUGUGUUUGUUCUGGUGUGUGUGUGUUGUGUUCUGGUGUGUGUGUGUGUGUGUGUGUUGGUUGUGUGUGUGUUGUUCUGGUUUUGUGUGUGUGUUUCUGGUUGUGUGUGUGUUCUGGUUGUUGUCUGGUAGAAUCGUUGUGUUGAAUAAAGGUUCUUAUGGUCUGGUUAGUGUUAUUAUGGUCUGGUUAGUGUUAUUAUGGUCUGGUUAGUGUUAUUAUGGUCUGGUUAGUGUUAUUAUGGUCUGGUUAGUGUUAUUAUGGUAAUAUCCAUACCCCUGGUGUAGUGUUGAUUCAUGGUAAUAUCCCGACCAACAGGUUAGUGUUAUUAUGGUCUGGUUA